rnacentral:rRNA from 1 species
AGAGUUUGAUCCUGGCUCAGGACGAACGCUGGCGGCGUGCUUAACACAUGCAAGUCGAACGGAAAGGCCCUUCGGGGUACUCGAGUGGCGAACGGGUGAGUAACACGUGGGUGAUCUGCCCUGCACUCUGGGAUAAGCCUGGGAAACUGGGUCUAAUACCGGAUAGGACCGCAUGCUUCAUGGUGUGUGGUGCAAAGCUUUUGCGGUGUGGGAUGAGCCCGCGGCCUAUCAGCUUGUUGGUGGGGUAAUGGCCUACCAAGGCGACGACGGGUAGCCGGCCUGAGAGGGUGACCGGCCACACUGGGACUGAGAUACGGCCCAGACUCCUACGGGAGGCAGCAGUGGGGAAUAUUGCACAAUGGGCGCAAGCCUGAUGCAGCGACGCCGCGUGAGGGAUGACGGCCUUCGGGUUGUAAACCUCUUUCAGUAGGGACGAAGCGAAAGUGACGGUACCUACAGAAGAAGGACCGGCCAACUACGUGCCAGCAGCCGCGGUAAUACGUAGGGUCCGAGCGUUGUCCGGAAUUACUGGGCGUAAAGAGCUCGUAGGUGGUUUGUCGCGUUGUUCGUGAAAACUCACAGCUUAACUGUGGGCGUGCGGGCGAUACGGGCAGACUAGAGUACUGCAGGGGAGACUGGAAUUCCUGGUGUAGCGGUGGAAUGCGCAGAUAUCAGGAGGAACACCGGUGGCGAAGGCGGGUCUCUGGGCAGUAACUGACGCUGAGGAGCGAAAGCGUGGGGAGCGAACAGGAUUAGAUACCCUGGUAGUCCAA